UUUGAUCAUCGUUGAGUGUUUCAUUAUCCACCAUGCAAGGUGGAUCAUCAGGCAUUGGCUACGGGCUGAAAUACCAGGCUCGAUGCAUCGCUGAUGUCAAAGCAGAUACAGAUCACACCAGCUUCAUCACCGGUACUCUCAGUCUCAAAGACGAAAAUGAGGCGCAUUUGAUUCGUCUCUCGUCGAGUGGAUCCGAGCUCAUAUGCGAGGGUUUGUUUUCUCACCCCAAUGAGAUCUGGGACCUCGCAUCUUGCCCCUUCGACCAACGCAUUUUCUCUACCGUCUUCUCCACUGGUGAAACUUCGAAGCAGCAAUAUGGCAAAUCCCGGAGUUAUAUGGCGAAUUGAAUUCUCCUCAGUUGGAAAAGGUUACAUCACUUAAUGACCAUGCUAGUAAGAUCAACUGUGUUCUUUGGUGGCCAUCUGGUAGACAUGAUAAGCUGAUCAGCAUUGAUGAGGAAAAUAUUUUACUAUGGAGCUUGGAUUGUUCAAGAAAACUUGCUCAGCUCAUUUCUUCUUUUGCUGCCAAAGCCAUAACUUUAGCAUUCAUCUUCUUCCUUUGUGUAUGCUGGAUUGUGAAACGGGGCCAGCUUCCUUCAAACUUUCAAUGAUGGAUAUUUUUGUCAAUAAUUGGUUACAUUCUGAAGUAAUGCAUCCGAACACAUCUUUGCCCAAGUUUCAAUCACAUCCUUCAAGCCCUUAAGUUCGAUGAUAAAGCCAUGGCGCAGCCAUCCAUGAAGGGGUGUUCUUCCGCCAAUUUUCUAUCAUGGGCAUGAAGGAUUGGUGUUGGAGCCACAUAUUUUUUAAGCAAAAAGGUGAGGGGCUCAUAUGAUACUGCCCAUGUAUAAGAUCAAGGGAAAGUGGUCUGAUAUGGGUCUGUUGGCGCGCCUAACCCCGACAAUUGUGAACUUGUCGAGGAUAUCUUUUACGGAUAGAAAUCUGUCAGUGAGAGUCAUAAUGGAGGGAAUUCUGUUAUCGGACUAGGUAAACUGCCCAUUCUGCAGGGGAAGGUCAUCGAGUUCAGUUAGACACCUCUAUUUUGCGGGUGAGUUUAUUGUUAGAUUUCUCAUGGGACCAGCGAGAUACAUUCUGGAGUUGCUAUCUGCACAAGGAAGGAGCUUGUAAAUCUGAGGGGAGAUCAUUAUGGAAUUCAUCGAGUUUUGUACACGAAAAAUGGUUAAUUGAUCACCGUCCCUCCUAAUAUCAGUUGGAGCCCCAUUGACAGCCACCAAUUUGUCAAAUUCGAAACAGAACCUUAGAACUAGAAAUUUGGAAAGUUGUACAACUCAGCAUCGACAAAUCCCGAUGCCCUGAUGGAUUGACAUAAAAAAUCUUCAAAAAUGUUGGAACGUCCUCAAAGGUGACGUUAUGAGGGUGUUCCACAUUUGUCUGAUUCGCAAAGAAAAUAGAUGCUUGGACUAUUGCUGAAUUUCACCCCAUCAGUCUUACCACAUGCCUCUACAUGAUGGUUGCUUGGGUCCUAUCUGAACGACUUAAGAAGGUUCUUCCUCUCACCAUAACAGAAUACCAAACUGCUUUUGUCGAGAAGAGACAAAUCCUUAGUUCAUCACCACAUUGAAAAUGCCGCUUCCACCCUUUUCUGGUUGACCCGUGGCGGUUAUGGGUGAUCACACUAAUCUUUUGGAGACAUCUUUGGCUAGAGAUGUGAAUGCACUCCUUAGUUCUAUUCUGAUGGGUCACCCAUUCAAGAAUGCCCAGGCUCUACUGUGGAUUCAUAAUUCUCAUGCUUUCUUUUCUGUCAUUUUGAAUGAAAGAAGCCAAAGGGUCUUCAUGAAUAAAGAGCAUCCUUUUGAUGCUCAAAGGUUUCAUGAAAUAUUGGGAGACUGUCAUUUGAUU